UACGAAGGGGGCUAGCGUUGCUCGGAAUUACUGGGCGUAAAGGGAGCGUAGGCGGAUAGUUCAGUCAGAGGUGAAAGCCCAGGGCUCAACCUUGGAACUGCCUUUGAUACUGGCUAUCUUGAGUUUGGGAGAGGUGUGUGGAACUCCGAGUGUAGAGGUGAAAUUCGUAGAUAUUCGGAAGAACACCAGUGGCGAAGGCGGCUCACUGGUCCGGUACUGACGCUGAGGUGCGAAAGCGUGGGGAGCAAACAGG
rnacentral:rRNA from 1 species